CCUUAGACUCACUGAGAGCUCAAAGGCACUUAAUCCAGUCUGAUCUUGGAAGCUAAGCUGGAUCAGCCCUGAUUAGUAGUUGGAUGGGGGACUACUAAGGAAUACCAGAGGCUGUUGUGUGGC
rnacentral:rRNA from 1 species